GAUGAACGCUGGCGGCGUGCCUAAUACAUGCAAGUCGAGCGAACAGACGAGGAUCUUGCUCCUCUGACGUUAGCGGCGGACGGGUGAUUAACACGAGGAUAACCUACCUAUAAGAAUGGGAUAACUUCGGGAAACCGGAUCUAAUACCGGAUAAUAUAUUGAACCGCAGGGUUCAUUAGUGAAAGACGGAUUUGCUGUCACUUAUAGAUGGAACCGCGCCGCAUUAGCUAGUUGGUAAGGUAACGGCUUACCAAGGCAACGAUGGGUAGCCGACCUGAGAGGGCGACCGGCCACACUGGAACUGAGACACGGCCCAGACUCCUACGGGAGGCAGCAGUGGGGAAUUUUGGACAAUGGGCGAAAGCCUGACGCAGCAACGCCGCGUGUGUGAUGAAGGCCUUCGGGUCGUAAAGCACUGUUAUCGGGAAAGAAAAGAACUGUACGAAUACAACGGUGCGAUGACGGUACCCACUGAAAAAGCACCGGCUAACUACGUG
rnacentral:rRNA from 1 species